GACGAACGCUGGCGGCGUGCUUAACACAUGCAAGUCGAACGCUGAAGCUCAGCUUUUGUUGGGUGGAUGAGUGGCGAACGGGUGAGUAACACGUGAGUAACCUGCCUCCUUCUUUGGGAUAACGCCCGGAAACGGGUGCUAAUACUGGAUAUUCACUGGUCUUCGCAUGGGGGUUGGUGGAAAGGGUUUUUCUGGUGGGGGAUGGGCUCGCGGCCUAUCAGCUUGUUGGUGGGGUGAUGGCCUACCAAGGCUUUGACGGGUAGCCGGCCUGAGAGGGUGACCGGUCACAUUGGGACUGAGAUACGGCCCACACUCCUACGGGAGGCAGCAGUGGGGAAUAUUGCACAAUGGGCGCAAGCCUGAUGCAGCGACGCCGCGUGAGGGAUGGAGGCCUUCGGGUUGUGAACCUCUUUCGCUCAUGGUCAAGCCGCAACAAUGGUUGUGGUGAGGGUAGUGGGUAAAGAAGCGCCGGCUAACUACGUG
rnacentral:rRNA from 1 species